CCUACGGGAGGCAGCAGUGAGGAAUAUUGGUCAAUGGGCGGGAGCCUGAACCAGCCAAGUCGCGUGAGGGAAGACGGUCCUAUGGAUUGUAAACCUCUUUAGGCGGGGAGCAAUGCCGGGCACGUGUGCCCGGAGGGAGAGUACCCGCAGAAUAAGCAUCGGCUAACUCCGUGCCAGCAGCCGCGGUAAUACGGAGGAGGCGAGCGUUAUCCGGAUUUGUUGGGUUAACAGGGUACGUAGGCGGAUUUUUAAGUUAGCGGUAAAAUUUCCGGGUUAACCCCGGGUCGGCCGUUGAAACUGGGGAUCUUGAGUGGGCGAGAGGUAGGCGGAAUGCGUGGUGUAGCGGUGAAAUGCGUAGAGAUCACGCAGAACACCGAUUGCGAAGGCAGCAUACCGGCGCCCGACUGACGCUGAGGCACGAAAGCGUGGGGAUCGAACAGGAUUAGAUACCCGGGUAGUC
rnacentral:rRNA from 1 species